CCUCUUCUUACUGCCGUAUUUAUGUUAAUGCAUUUUCUAAUGAUACGUAAGCAAGGUAUUUCGGGUCCUUUAUAG
rnacentral:tRNA from 1 species